CCGUACGAGCGCACCCCUAUCCCUAGUUGCUAGCAGUUCGGGCUGAGAACUCUAGGGAGACUGCCGGUGACAAACCGGAGGAAGGUGGGGAUGACGUCAGGUCAUCAUGGCCCUUACGGCCAGGGCUACACACGUGCUACAAUGGUGCGCACAGAGGGCUGCAAACCCGCGAGGGGGAGCUAAUCUCACAAAACGCAUCGUAGUCCGGAUCGGAGUCUGCAACUCGACUCCGUGAAGUCGGAAUCGCUAGUAAUCGUGAAUCAGAAUGUCACGGUGAAUACGUUCCCGGGCCUUGUACACACCGCCCGUCACACCAUGGGAGUGGAUUGCACCAGAAGUAGUUAGUCUAACCUUCGGGAGGACGAUUACCACGGUGUGGUUCAUGACUGGGGUGAAGUCGUAACAAGGUAGCCGUAGGGGAACCUGCGGCUGGAUCACCUCCUU
rnacentral:rRNA from 1 species